CGGUGCAAAUGGAAGGUCAAGGAAGACAUGGUCACUUUUUGUUGUUCUGUGACACCUUUAAUCAUGAACAGAACGAGGUAAAAUGUCUUUUGAAAUGUUUUGGAAAGUCUGUUGCUUUGAUUCAGUGGGUUAGAAGUUGAUAUUUUAAGUCAAAUGCGUGUUUAAAUUGCAGGAAAUGCAUUUGGAUCUCGUCAGUUUUCCUCGUCCAGUGUGUAUCAGUGAAGUUCGUGUGAUUCCCCGAGGAGGGAGGCCUCAUCUAGCUAUUGAUAGACUGGGGUAAGGUGGUCUCAUGUUUUGGAUAGAUGUAGAAGAUAUAUGGUAUUUCAUAUAGCAUUAGGCCAAUGGGCUAUUCCAUUUAAUAUCCGUACCCCCCCUGUCGAGGAUCCCUGGAAUUCUUCAGGGGUAAAGGGUUUUGAGCUUGGAAUUCUUCAGGGGUAAAGUGUUUUGAGCUUGGAAUUCUUCA